GGGCUCGACUGAUCGGGCUCGGCCCGAUCCUCCCA
rnacentral:rRNA from 1 species